UACCCUCUUCUAUCCCCUUAUCUGGCCUUGUUCUCCUUUAAAACAGUUAGAGUUAUACACAACUAUAUGAUUUGUUCUGUCAUCGUCUGUCCCUGCUAUUAAGUGCAAACAUGAAAACCAUGGAAAUCUGGUAUUGUCCUACACCAGAACACACAGUAGGGAUUCCAUAAAGAAGUAAUGAACAUCAUCAAAAAAGACUAACACCAGGGUUUCACUCCUCCCACAUUCUCCUAGGGUUCCUAGGGCACCUAGAGCAAGCGGGAGUCAGGAGCAAGCUUUGCAACCAACCAGUCCAGAGUCCAAGCUCGGCUCCAUGGGACCUAAGAUGUAACCAAUCCCGGAUCCCUCAGUGCAUAUCUUCUGUUUUGUUUGCACAGUGACCUACAAUCACAGAAAUGAAAACGUUACUGGUGAGUGGCUAAUGGACAAGAACUUGCGAAGCUCUUGGCAAUCUUGAUAUAAGAGAUUGUAAAAGUUCUAUAACCCUGCCGAGCGUCUCAGGCCUUGGGCCAAAGCAACUAGACCGCUGCACGUCAUCAUCUCCCAUGGGCCCUGACUUCAGGCGACUGAGCAUGCUCUUUACAAACUUGACAGACAGCUGGGUCCUUUGCAACCUGCCCAGUAUGUUAUUUCUCGGACGACUUCCUGUGUGACCUGGGAGAGGGGAGAACUCUGGCGCUGAGGCAAGGUAAAAAAGAAAACAAGUCUGAAGCCUGAGAAGGAGACUAUCAGUGAGUUCUCGGCACCUCCAUCAUCACAUUCUGCACGAUGCCAGGCACUGGGAACUCAGCA